AGGGACUGACCUUCAAACAGCAUCUGAAGAGAAAGCAAGAAAAGCACACAUACUGGGCCAAUAGCGGAUAUUUGGAGAAGCCUCUGAGAAGAACCUUUAUCUUUCUCAGCUCAUCAUCCUUGACACACUGGAGAAGUGCCUGGCAGGGAUAAUCCCUGUUUAUCACAGGAGUGGUUUAAGCAGUCCUCAUCAGGAUGCAGCACAGGAAUGCAGAAAUGGUACGGUUCUAAACAACGGAAGGCUUUCAUUAUAGGCCCAGGAAGUGUGCCGCCAGCAGCGUGCCUGUGCGCGCGCUAUACUUAACCCCCGGURGCCAGCAGCGUCAGCGGUGGAACAGCGGUGAMAGUUCCACCGUAGAGGCUAAAGAUGAAGGUAUGCUUCCAGUUGUAGAGCUGCCAAGAGGAGCACUCAGAACACAAACACAUACACAUACUCAGCCCACAGGAAGCAGCUGAAGACUCUGCCCAGAGACACGGAGGAAUGRGAUGCUCAAAACAUGCAUGGUGUGAACUGCAGCUCCGGGUUUCACCGGGUACUGUGUUCCAUGGACUGAACGCUGAUAGAUCGUGGCCUGUUGCACGGCUAGACAAUGAACAGAACCUGCUGCAUUUUCCUUUUGGAUUUGUGAAAAAAACAAACUGUCUAACAGUUUUAAAAUAAAGUGUUAGCGGCAAGAGUCAAAGUUUAGAUGUAAUUCGAUCCACCCCAGAAUAUUAGGAUGGAUUUACAGCUUAAACAGGAUUGUGAUAUAAUAAUAACAAUAACAAUUUUAUUUAUAAAGCGCCGUCAUGCAGCAUUGGUAGAGGUUAUAAACGCACAAAAAGCAAGAACUAAUUUAUAGAAUACUAGAAGCUUAUUGAUAAGUUUAUAUUAAAGAUGCACUGAUCUGACAGUAAUAUCUGUAUCGGUGGUGAUAUUGAAAAAAAUUUGUAUCAGCAACAAUGACAUAAGGGCAGCUCUUUCUAGUCUAAUUCUACACUUUGUGCUCUGAGCAACGCCAUGCUUUAUUAUUUAUCUGGCAUUUUAUU